rnacentral:rRNA from 1 species
GAGUUUGAUCCUGGCUCAGGGUGAACGCUGGCGGCGCGCUUAAUGCAUGCAAGUCGAGCGUGAUCGUGGCUUCGGCCACAAUGAUAAAGCGGCAGACGGCUGAGUAACGCGUGAGUAAUCUGCCCUCCGGUGGGGUAUAACCUCGGGAAACUGAGGAUAAUCCCGCAUACGACCUGCAUCCCUUGGGGUGCAGAUGAAAGGCUUCGGUCGCCGGAGGAGGAGCUCGCGUCCUAUCAGGUUGUUGGUGGGGUAAUGGCCUACCAAGCCGAUGACGGGUAGCUGGUCUGAGAGGAUGACCAGCCAGAGGGGGACUGAGAACGGCCCCCACUCCUACGGGAGGCAGCAGCAGGGAAUCUUGGGCAAUGGGCGAAAGCCUGACCCAGCGACGUCGCGUGGGGGACGAAGGCCUUCGGGUUGUAAACCCCUUUUCCGAGGGAAGAGAAAGGACGGUACCUCGGGAAUAAGCCCCGGCUAACUACGUGCCAGCAGCCGCGGUAAUACGUAGGGGGCAAGCGUUACCCGGAAUCACUGGGCGUAAAGUGCGCGUAGGCGGUUGGAUAAGUCUCUUGUGAAAGCUCCCGGCUCAACUGGGAGAGGUCAAGGGAUACUAUUUGACUAGAGGACAGCAGAGGUAAGCAGAAUUCCCGGUGUAGCGGUGGAAUGCGUAGAUAUCGGGAGGAACACCAGUGGCGAAAGCGGCUUACUGGGCUGUAUCUGACGCUGAGGCGCGAGAGCGUGGGGAGCAAACUGGAUUAGAUACCCUGGUAGUC